rnacentral:rRNA from 1 species
ACCAAGCGACCGCAAGGAAGCUGAAGUGAGUGUAGCCACGCUGACAAGAAAUAGGUUCUAAGCAUAUUUUUAUCAGACCGUACCGCAAACCGACACAGGUGGGCGGGAUGAGUAUUCUAAGGCGAUCGAGAUAACCACUGUUAAGGAACUCGGCAAAAUCACCCCGUAACUUCGGGAGAAGGGGUGCCUACUUCGGUAGGCUGCAAUAAAGAGGCCCAAGCGACUGUUUAGCAAAAACACAGGACUCUGCAAAUCCGAAAGGAGAAGUAUAGGGUCUGACACCUGCCCGGUGCCGGAAGGUUAAAAGGAGAUGUUAGCUUCGGCGAAGCAUUGAAUUGAAGCCCCGGUAAACGGUGCCGUAACAAUAACGGUCCUAAGGUAGCGAAAUUCCUUGUCGGGUAAGUUCCGACCCGCACGAAAGGCGUAAUGAUUUGGAUACUGUCUCGGAGAGAGGCUCGGUGAAAUAGACUUGUCUGUGAAGAUGCGGACUACCUGCACCAGGACAGAAAGACCCUAUGAAGCUUUACUGUAACUUGAAAUUGGAAUUGGACUUUGCUUGCGCAGUAUAGGUGGGAAGCGUUGAAAAUAUUCUUGCGGGAGUAUUGGAGCUAUCAGUGAGAUACCACUCUUGUAAUGUUAGAUUUCUAACUUUGAACCAUAAUCUGGUCAAAGAACAGUUUCAGGUGGGCAGUUUGACUGGGGCGGUCGCCUCCCAAAUGGUAACGGAGGCGUACAAAGGUUUCCUCUGAACGGAUAGAAAUCGUAUCUAGAGUGUAAAGGCAUAAGGAAGCUUGACUGUGAGACCUACAAGUCGAGCAGGGACGAAAGUCGGUCUUAGUGAUCUGACGGUACUGAGUGGAAAGGCCGUCACUCAACGGAUAAAAGUUACUCUAAGGAUAACAGGCUGAUCUCCCCCAAGAGUUCACAUCGACGGGGAGGUUUGGCACCUCGAUGUCGGCUCAUCGCAUCCUGGGGCGGUAGUACGUCCCAAGGGUUGGGCUGUUCGCCCAUGAAAGCGGUACGCGAGCUGGGUUCAGAACGUCGUGAGACAGUUCGGUCCAUAUCCGGUGUAGGCGCUAGAAUAUUGAGAGGAGCCUUCUUUAGUACGAGAGGACCGAGAAGGACACACCGCUGGUGUACCAGUUAUCGUGCCAACGGUAAACGCUGGGUAGCUAUGUGUGGAGUGGAUAACCGCUGAAAGCAUCUAAGUGGGAAGCCCACCUCGAGAUGAGUAUUCGC